GCGGGCGUAGCUCAACUGGUUAGAGCGCUGCCCUGUCACGGCAGAGGUUGUGGGUUCAAGUCCCAUCGCUCGCG
rnacentral:tRNA from 1 species